rnacentral:rRNA from 1 species
AUUGAACGCUGGCGGCAUGCCUUACACAUGCAAGUCGAACGGCAGCACGGGAGCAAUCCUGGUGGCGAGUGGCGAACGGGUGAGUAAUAUAUCGGAACGUGCCCAGUAGUGGGGGAUAACUGCUCGAAAGAGCAGCUAAUACCGCAUACGACCGGAGGGUGAAAGGGGGGGAUCGCACGACCUCCCGCUAUUGGAGCGGCCGAUAUCAGAUUAGCUAGUUGGUGGGGUAAAGGCCUACCAAGGCAACGAUCUGUAGUUGGUCUGAGAGGACGACCAGCCACACUGGGACUGAGACACGGCCCAGACUCCUACGGGAGGCAGCAGUGGGGAAUUUUGGACAAUGGGCGCAAGCCUGAUCCAGCAAUGCCGCGUGCAGGAAGAAGGCCUUCGGGUUGUAAACUGCUUUUGUCAGGGAAGAAAUCCUCUAGGUUAAUACCCUUGGGGGGAUGACGGUACCUGAAGAAUAAGCACCGGCUAACUACGUGCCAGCCGCCGCAGUAAAAC